rnacentral:rRNA from 1 species
AAGACGAGAAGACCCCAUGGAGCUUUAAGCUAGCUUCACAUCUGUUUUGUACGCCCUUUGAUUAAACAGAGCACUGCCUGCUUAGCUUUAGGUUGGGGUGACCGCGGAAUAUAACACAACUUCCGCGAUGUGCAACUAUUUUCCUAUCUAAGAAUUACUAUUCUAAGAAUUAGCAUUCUAACAUACAAUGAUCCGAUAAUCGAUCAACGGACUAAGUUACCCUGGGGAUAACAGCGCAAUCCAUUUCAAGAGCCCCUAUCGA